UACGUAGGGGCAAGCGUUGUCCGGAAUCAUUGGGCGUAAAGCGUGCGUAGGCGGCUGCGCAAGUCGGUUGUGAAACCCCGGGCUCAACCCGGAACUGCAUCCGAUACUGCGUGGCUAGAGGUAGGUAGGGAGAUCGGAAUUCCUGGUGUAGCGGUGAAAUGCGCAGAUAUCAGGAGGAACACCGAUGGCGAAGGCGGAUCUCUGGGCCUUACCUGACGCUCAGGCACGAAAGCUAGGGAGCGAACAGG
rnacentral:rRNA from 1 species